UCUUUGUACAAAAAGAAGAAACAAUCCAAGGGGGCGGUCCAGGCGCACCAACCGAUUCGCCGCUCUCUCCCCCGUGCCGUACCCCGCCCCCCUCCCCCCGUGCUCGUGGGCGUUGCACACGCGCCUGCGUGUGCAGUUUGCGUUUGCAGGGUGCGCGCCCUCCUCAAGCCCUUUUUGUUUGUUCGCUUAUUCGUUACUCUUCCGUCUUUUUGCGGCCUCGUUUUACCUUUUCAUUGUCCUCCUCCCCCCACUCGCUUUUCCUCGUGGCAACGCGCGCGCGCUUGAGUCUGCGGUUGCAGCGUUCUCCCCCUCUCACUUUCUCAAACGCCCGCCAUGUCUCAUUCAACAGGGCCCGCCGUUCCGAUUCCCUCGCUUGGGGGCGCUACAGCGGAGCACCCGCCUCACAGCCGAGUUAGUCUGCCGACUUUCACCCAUUCAACCAGACCCCAAGCUGCAAACACGGCGUACCUGUCUUAUCCACCGGCUCCGUAUUCGAGACAGCCCCAGCCUGGCUACCCGCCGUCGUUCCCCAUGUCUACGGGCGACACGAACGGGGGUAACCUCGGUAACCAUGCUGCCACGGCGGCAUCGUCACUGACGCCGUUCGGUUCGUACGGCUCCGCGGCAAUGACUAGCCCGCCACCAGCCUAUCCUGAGCACGGCGGGUAUUCGGAGCAGCAGCAGGUGGCGCCGACGCUGCCGCCGCCACCGCCUCACCACCAGCGGAACCCCAACGCGUACAUUCCGCGCGAGGCGGCGCGUGAGGAGGUUGUGGGCGAGGCCAUCGCGGCCACCUCGCAGCACUGGUUGCAAACGCAGCUAAAGCGGGAGACGGAGAGGCGGCACGAGCCGCUGCACGGUAGGUUCCAGCAGUCGGCGCGCCGCGGCCACGAGGGUCAAGACGACGACGGUUACGCGCGAGAGAACGCUGCUCGGUAUCUGCCGACUGCAGGUGGGGCCGCCGCGAGGGGCGGCACGGCGUCAUUUACGUUCUCUCACGCGUCCCAGCGGCAGCACGUAGAGUUCCUGAUCGGCUCACCCUGCCAUGUGAAGAGGCUCGUGGUCCUCCUCUUCUCCACGCUGUUUGGCGUCCUUCCUCUCAUGUCCACCUUCGCCUUCACGACGCUGCUUUGCGGGGUGGUGCUGCUGUACAUUUCCGACUAUCUGGGCUACCACCGUACCACCGUCUUAGUUCUGCUCGGCACUGCCGGCGUGUUCUCGGCGACGCUUCUCAUCUCUAACAUUCACGCGGCGGCCACGUCGUUCGGCCCCAUGUUGAUGAUUGCGGACUUGGGCGGCGUUCUCAUGGUUGUGGUGGCGGCCGCAAUCCAGCACUUUCGCUGGGUGCAGGAGACGUUUCCGAAUGUCCUGUGCGCGCUGGAGAGAUUUGUGUUCGCGGUUGGCCCUGUGCUCUGCCUGCCGCCGCUGCUGACGACGAUCACCGGCCUCGUCGGCUCCCGCCGCGCGCCGUUUUUCUUCUUUGUUGUUCUGUGCACGCUGCACCACUUCUUCUACUGCCCCCUCAAAAGCAGCUUUCUCGUGCUGGUGUCCCCAGAGAGUGCUGCUGGCGCCGCGGCGACGUCGGUGCAGCCAGGUCAGCAGCAGCAGCACCUGCAGUCUGAUGCCAUGAGGGAUGCCGGGGUCCACGCGAGAGGGAGGGUCGCCGAUGACGGGGAUGGCCAGGCGAAAGGUGCGCACGCGGGUGGCGACGGCGACGGCGCCGGCGGCGUUGAUGACGCGGCGUCUGUCGACUCCACCUCGUCUACCUGCGGCGCGCCAAUGCAAUUGAAUGAGCAGGUGGAGGCGCUCGUCUUCAGCUGCCUUGUUUUGCUCCUCCCUGUCGCCGUGUACAACGCCUUCCAGAGCAACUGGGUAGACCACGCGGUUGCGAACAUGCUCAACUCGGUCGGCCUUGCCUGCGGCGGCAUCGCUUACUUCUGCAUUUCGCCACUGCACAGCCUCUGGUUCCUGGCGUCGCCAUCGGAAGAGACCUACUCGCUGUUGCAGCAGCUCGAAUACGACCCGCUCGGGCUUCUUGACCUCGUCGCGGCCUUCCGCAUUCCCCUGUUGGCGAUCGUCUCUAUCAUUGGGGUGCAUUGGGGCGCCUACCGCCUCCUCAACUCGCGCUACUCGUACCUGUUCUCGGGCGUUGCCUUUCCUUUCAACGCCAUUCUGUUGCUGAUCGCCUUCUACAUCACCGUGUACGUCGGCAUCGAGAUCAAGUGGCUCCUCGACGUCGACAGCCGCGGCGGCGAUGUGACGAAGGGCAAGUAUCUGCUGCGGCGCAUGCCGGUGCUGCUUGGCAGCUGCGCGGUGUCCGUCAUUCUGUGCAUCUUGACGAGUGCACCGGGUGUGCUCUAUUUCCCUAGUGUGCUCUCCAUCAUUGCCUUCAACGUCUUCCUUAUGGACCGCACGAACGGCGGCCCGAUGUUCACCUUUACCGUCUUCACUAGCCUGAUGCUACUGUGGUGGAUGUACCGCACCUACUCCUUCAUCGUGAUGGACCUGCGCGUUUUCGGUGAGACGACGGUAGUGCCAACGCCGGUGCUGGGGGUGAGCGUGCUGUGGUGCUACGUGCUCGGCUGCAUGAGCUUCGCCCUCUCCUUCUCGCCCAGCAAGGCACCGGUGACGAUCGCUCUCUUCCUGCUUGCGCUGCAGCUCACCUUUGUUGAGCACGUCCUCUACUCGCAGAAAGAGGAGGGCGCCUACCCGGCGGUGCUUGUCGUGCUCACGAGUGCCGUGGGCGUUGCCGUGCCGUGCCGCAUGUACAAAAAUGGUGCUCUGACGGUGUACUCGGCGGUGCUCAUCUCGUCUUGCUUUGUGGCCAAGCUCUUUACUUUUCUGGUCGAAGUGACGAGUGCCUACUACGCAGCGGAGCUGACUGUGCGUGAUGGGAUGGAGACGACCCGCGCGUGGCUCCUCAUGGCCGAGAUCACGGGCGGGUGGUGGGUAGCCCUCUUCGCCGGCUACCUCGUCGCCUCAUUCGAGAUUGAGCACCGCCGUCGCAUCAAGAUGGAGGCAGCGAAGAGGAUGCUUCACACAUACGCCACCAUGGCGCUGCUGCUGUCUCUGCUGACGAUCCGCAACGUGCAGCGCGCUGCCUACGAGUUUGUUACACAGAGCUACGUUGCAGAGUCGGAGCUGCUUCACAUUGCCGCCGGCACGUGCUGUGCGACCUACGCGCUUCUGACGAUGCCCGUGUGGUGGCGGCUGAAGAGCCGCUACCCGGCUGUGUUUCCGCUUCGCGCCGUUUCCCGCUGCGCGGCGCUAUUGGGAGUGGUCCUGCUAGCCGUGCAGCCCACCCGCGUGGUGGGGGCGGAGGUGUCCGACUUCGACUAUGAUUUCGAGUACGCCGACAGAGGCCGGUACGCGGCGGCCGUCGGCCUCAUGAUGCUGCUUGGUGCCCGGGCCUCAUUUCUGCAGUGCAUCCCGUUCGCUGGCCGCUUUGUAUACUGGCUCGCGACAGCCGCGUCGUUGUCGCUCGGCAUUACCGGGCUCGUGCAGGCCGCGCCGACCUUCAACUUCUACAUCAUGAUGCUGGGCUUCGUCUUUCUGAUCCUCCUCAUGAUCGAUGUGACGCACUAUCGCGAGGUGAGCGGCACCGUGCUUGUUGGAGUGUACGGCCUCUCCAUUCUUACGAUCCCGUUAUCUUUCCUGCAGCUCAACCGGUCUGUCGCGGCGCAGCAAGAGAAGCUGUACUACUCGCCCAAUCGCUUGACGAUGCUGUGGGAUAUGUACGAGCAGGGAAGCCUGCGCCUCCUGGCGGUUAUCGUCGUCAUGUACCUGGGCUUGUCAGUGAUGAUCAACUGCCGCCUGAGCGGGCGGCCGCUGCUCCCCAAGUGCCGCGAGAUCAGCCACGAGGCCAGCCUGCCCCUUGGUGUCAUCGCCAACUUUUCGACGGAGCUGUCCGUGGCACUGCUGUGCGCCAUCAAUUUCUUCGGCAACGACAGUGAGCCAGCCUUGUACGUCCUGUCCUCGCUUCUUCUGCUGCUCUUCGUGGAUGACGAAGUCAUCUUCUUUGGGCUCAAGGAGCACCACUUCCGCUACUUCGCUCCCACGGCAUGCUCCUUGACACUGCUGUGGCUGUGCACCAUGUGGAACGCGUGGCGCACGGCGGCACCACAGGGUCUUCUUUCGCAGCUGAGGCGGGAAACGUGGUCAUUGGCGCAGGCCUCUGUCACAUUGCCGUCGCAGAUCUCGCUGCUGGUGCUCUUGUGGAGGGGGCGCAAGAUGGGCAGCUCUCCCGGCUUUGUUGUCGUUGGCUCGGUGCUGCUGAACCUGGCGUGCCUGCUGCUUGUGUCAGACAAGGCCGUGCAGUGGAUGGCGAUUGUCGGCAUCCUUGGCCAGUGCGCACGUAUUUUCGAAACGCAACUCCAGCCCACCACCUCCACACGGCGCCGUCACCCCAGCGCCUACUAGGUGCGGGAGUAUUACCAGCAAAAAGGAGGAAGGAGAAGCAGACACACGCACACACACACACACACACACACGCACCCACAUACACAGGCCCUCCUUACACCCCCACUGGCUUUCCAUGCCAGCAACACUACCCCCGAAAACAUCGGCAUUGGUGUGUGCGUGCAUGUUUGCGUGUGUGUGUGUGCUUGUCACACGUAUAGUCAAGCACCUGCCAUAUCGUCGGAGGAGCGCGUGCCGUCACCGUCGCUUCACAUCCUCUUCAACCUGUUCUUUUCGUGUUCGGUGAAUAUCUGGAGUCGUUCCGUCUUCGAGGGAGCCGCAGAUGGGCGCUUGAUGGGGGGAAGGAGGCACCUGCUUUUCUUUGACCCGUCCAUGUGAAGUGCAGAGUAGUUGUGUUUGCUGGUGCGAUGUGGUUGCCUUAAACACCUCUCUCCCUCCUCUCUCUGUCUUAAGUUCCUUGUUCUUCCUGCCUCGCUUGGUUCUUUCUCCCCAACUCCCCGCCAGCCUUUCAAGCGCCUGCGGUGACCGCCGCCGCUGUGCGUGUCUGUGCUUGAGUGCGCUCGUGUGCCGUAUGUUGGCUGUGACACAGCCACGGCCACAGACACUGACACAGACAGCAUGUGCGGCGCGUUUUGAGGCGAAAGGCGCGGGUGAGGACAUCGUGGCUGGGUUGCCUUCUGCUCGUGUGCUUGCACGUAGCUCUUCCCUUUGUGUGUAGAGUCUGUGUGUUUGUGUGUGCGUGUGUGUGUCGGUUGUUUUGAUGAGAGAUGUGGGGCUACGGUAGCGUGAAUAAACGGAACUUGCUGGCGUGGCGCACAUCUUGCGAAGAUGGCGCAAGUGAACCGAAUACCGUACCAAGGACAUCCAUACAUGAAGGGCGUGACAUGAGUGGUCGACGGACCAUCCUGAGGGUGUUCAUAUGCUUUAGUACUCCUCCUCUUCUCAUGCCUCCUCAGUUCCAUGACACGCAAUCUGCGCGUGCGUGUGCUUUUCU
rnacentral:misc_RNA from 1 species